GACGAACGCUGGCGGCGUGCUUAACGCAUGCAAGUCGAACGGAAAGGCCCUGCUUUUGUGGGGUGCUCGAGUGGCGAACGGGUGAGUAACACGUGAGUAGCCUGCCCUUGACUUUGGGAUAACUUCAGGAAACUGGGGCUAAUACCGGAUAGGAGCUCCUGCUGCAUGGUGGGGGUUGGAAAGUUUCGGCGGUUGGGGAUGGACUCGCGGCUUAUCAGCUUGUUGGUGGGGUAGUGGCUUACCAAGGCUUUGACGGGUAGCCGGCCUGAGAGGGUGACCGGCCACAUUGGGACUGAGAUACGGCCCAGACUCCUACGGGAGGCAGCAGUGGGGAAUAUUGCACAAUGGGCGGAAGCCUGAUGCAGCAACGCCGCGUGCGGGAUGACGGCCUUCGGGUUGUAAACCGCUUUCGCCUGUGACGAAGCGUGAGUGACGGUAAUGGGUAAAGAAGCACCGGCUAACUACGUG
rnacentral:rRNA from 1 species